AGGAUUCCCCUAGUAACGGCGAGUGAAGCGGGAUGAGCUCAAGCUUAAAAUCUCUGUACAAGUUUUGUAUGGCGAAUUGUAGUCUAUAGAGGCGUGAUCAGUGUAGGCACUUGGGGUAAGUUCCUUGGAAGAGGACAGCAUGGAGGGUGAUACUCCCGUUUAUCCCUAAGUAGCUUAUGCGUACGAUCCGUUUUCUUUGAGUCGCGUUGUUUGGGAAUACAGCGCAAAGUAGGUGGUAAAUUCCAUCUAAAGCUAAAUAUUGGUGCGAGACCGAUAGCAAACAAGUACCGUGAGGGAAAGAUGAAAAGAACUUUGAAAAGAGAGUUAAAGAGUACCUGAAACUGCUGAAAGGGAACCGAAUCGUUUCCAGUGUCUAUAAUCCGUGGUAUAUUUCAUUGGUUGAUGUGCAGAUGCAUAUGUUAUGGCAGUGGCUUUUUGGCUGCACCUUGCAUGUGUUAGUAUGUGCGUUUGCUGGUGCCCUGUACUGCGGUGGGACGUCAAUGUAAGUUCGUAUACUGCGGGAAAUGGCUGCUGAGGAGGUAGGGCUUACGCUUGCGUUUGUCUGUUAUAUCUUGGUGGACUAGUAGUCGUGGUUGGGACUGAGGUGCCUACAACGUGCUUUUGAGUGGGAUUGUGUCUCCGUGUGCGCCGUGUAUAGAUAGCUUGCUAUGUAUAUGUGGUUGUGUGUGGAUUGAUGCGAGCUUUAACUUGUUGCCGUUCGGGACGUUGACGAAAUGGAACGAUCCGACCCGUCUUGAAACACGGACCAAGGAGUCUAACAUGUGUGCAAGUGUUAGGGUGUGGAAACCCCAGCGCGAAAUGAAAGUAAAGGGUAGCGCAAGUUAUCUGAGGUAGGAAACAUUGUGGACUUUUGUCUUACGGUGUGGCACUAUCGACCGAUCAUGAACCUUCGUGGUGAAAGAUUUGAGUUUGAGCACAUAUGUUGGUACCCGAAAGAUGGUGAACUAUGCCUGAGUAGGGUGAAGCCAGGGGAAACUCUGGUGGAAGCUCGUAGCGAUUCUGACGUGCAAAUCGAUCGUCAAACUUGGGUAUAGGGGCGAAAGACUAAUCGAACCAUCUAGUAGCUGGUUCCCUCCGAAAUUUCCCUCAGGAUAGCAGCAACUUAUUUACGAUAGUUUUAUGAGGUAAAGCGAAUGAUUAGAGGAUUCGGGGAAGAAACUUUCUCGACCUAUUCUCAAACUUUAAAUCUGUAAGACCUGCAGGUUUCUUAAUUGAACCUGUGGAUGUGAAUAUCAAGUUGCUAGUGGGCCAUACGGGGUAAGCUCGUCUGGCGAUGCGGGAUGAACCGAACGCAAAGUUAAAGUGCCAAAAUACUCGCUCACCUAGAUACCAUAAAAGGUGUUGGUUCAUU
rnacentral:rRNA from 1 species